GUUAUACUCAGGGGGAGGGUAGUGGAGGCGGCACCAGCUCCGCCUACCGGACAGGAGGAGGUAUCCACUCGUCCAGCGUCAGCCAUUACCACCACUGUGAGGAACUCACCUUGUGUGGUGUGUCUACUUAUGGCCAUGAUGCACCUCCACUGUGAAUCUGUGGAUACCCUCUAUAUCACCACCCAGGAUAGGAGAAAAUAAUUGUAAGUUUGAGAAGUUUCGCGGGCACUAUGUGGAGCGACCUUAGAAUACCAGGUUUGGAACCAGUACUGGUAUGAUUACUUGGGAAGAAUCCUAUCUACUCAGCAAGAGUAGUGUGUGAACAAAGUACCUGGUAUGUGUACCUAAGAAUACCAAGGAGUUCCAUACUUGUAGUUGUGGAGUGUAUACGAGAUGUGGUGCUAUAACAGGUGGUGUAGUCUGAUGUGUUGGGUGUUAUAGUAAGAAAGAAUGACCGAGAUAAGUAGGUCAUUGGUUGUUAUGAAGAAUGAAGAUGAUAAUAGUAGUUGUUUGAUGAAGAACGUAUAUUGAUGUGAAGUGUAAUGAACAUAACAGUGGUUCUUCUAAUAAAGGCCAGAUCUUUUUGUAUUGUGCUUGAAUGCACUAUGUUUUUAUAAGGAAUAAAUUAGUUAAGUCAUGAUUGAUGUUUCACCGUUCUUCCCAAUGAAAAACCCAACCCAAUGCCUAACUUACUCUGCCCGCUACCUAACGAGCUACAUACUGUCCAGGGGGGCCUGGUAGCAGUGACCUUAAAAUUAAGAGUAGAGUUAAGUUGUCCCCUUAGAAUUAGUGACCCCAGAAUUGGGCAGUAUACCAGCCACCAAUGACGCUAUCCUUUUACUGUACCAAUUAAUCUCUUAGAACUGCCACAUAUCCAACAUUACAAAAAUAACCAGUACAUACAAACUAGACCCACACACCACUAAAAUUUCCUUUGACAGAACCAGUCACUGCCAGAGAGGGUUCUGUCAUGUUAACAAGAUAAAUUAUCAAGAUGAAAAAUACAUUGGGCUGCAAAGUAACUUCUCAUCCGGUAAAAUUAAGUUCGAGUCAUUGCUUUGUGGGUUACUUAAAUUUUAGGAACACUGUUGAAACCCUGAGAUUGUCCUAACUGUUUCCCUUGUGAAUAAGAAAAAAAUCAUGCUGCAAUCCUUCAUUUAUUUCCUAUGGGUCAUUCAAGUAUCCUAUGUGGCCAAAUCAGCUCAAAGUAGAAUUGAGGGGUAAUUUAUCAGGUAAACGUAAUAAUACCACCCCUUUUAGAAAGCAUGUAGAGCAGAGUACGGUAUGUCAAGAAUAAUAAUCGAGGACUAUCCUUAAUACAUUUUAGUUCCUCAAUUUGGACUCUAAUUUUCAUUCAGAUAACUUUCAAUUAAAAUUUAAACUGAGGACCAAUGGGCUAAGCUCCAGAAUGUAUUUUAAAGAUAUUCACCUUAAACUCUCAUACAGGGAGGGUCACUCUGUUGAAAAAAAUUGUCUGACUUUAUCCAAAUAAAAUAUUAAAAGGUGUCCUGUAGUGAAGGGGUUAGAGAGGUCAUUGAGGAAAAUAUCUUCAAUACAGUAUCAUUUGCUUCAGCAGUACACCUAGGUUGAGUGGUCCCAAAUUUUUAUUACCAAAACUGAUAUUUUUUUCUGAGAGUUGCCUCAGGGAAAUGAAUGAAAAUUAAUAAUUUCCCUUUAAGAUACUUAAUGAAAUACUGGAAAGAUUAAUGGCUAACACAAGCAGAAACUUGGUGACAUCAGUGUCCGAAUAUUCUGGUUUUCAUUCUUUAAGAAUUCAGGACUACGUAAGUUUUAAACAAGCCUAGGUUAUGGAGUAAACAAAGAAUAUGAAACUAAACCCCCUUUUUAGAUUAUGAUCACAACUUGGACUCAUAUGUCCACCAUUUGUCUCAGUUAAGUUUAAGAUAUUUGGGGAAAAUAAAUGGUUAAUAAAUGAAAGCAAUUAAAAAAAGUGUCUAAAUACUGUGGUUUAUUUGCCUAUUUCAGUCUAUAUAAAGUAUCUAAAUAAAAAAAUAAGGACUUCAAAAGAAGAGAGACAAGUAUAAAUUAAUGUUUACAGUUGACUUUGGCAUACAGCAUCAUGUUACUGUUCAGUGAUUUACACAGGGAUUGUUUUGUAACACAUUUAUAAUGUGAUAACAAAGAUACAAAAAGUGGUUACAAAAUAACUGAAUUAAUGAGUAAGUGCAAAACAAUAUAAGCUAAAUGUUUGUUCAGAAAAAUCAGUGCACUUGUAAUGGUGACAUCACACAAAGUAUCUGGGUUAAACUCUGUGAGCAUCAUGAUAAUUCUCGCUCUCACAAUAAUGUAAAUAUUUUUGUAAUCCCUUCACAUGAUGGCAACUCCAGGAUGCAAAAAGAGGACAGUACACCAUUUCUUUCUCUCAAUCUUGUUUUUUUUUAUUCUAGAAUUUUUUGUUUUGCAUACAUAUACUGUACAGUAGCUACCUACUGCAUUAUUACUCAAAUUGAUUUACAGGUAAAAUAUUUAAAGUUGUGAAAUUAGGUAGUUUUUGGAAAGCUCCUUUCUGUACUACAGUAUCUUAUUUAUCUUUACCUUUGUAAAUUCAUAUCAUCAGGAAAUAAAUAUUCCCAUAACUUUCUGAAGUUUAUGGGACUUUCUGUAAAUUAUACUAAGCUGGGAGUAGCUAAUUACCGGUAGUCUUACUAGAAAGAAAGAUAUACUGUAGUUAAAUCUUUGAAUGCAUCUACUACAUUAAAAUUAUCACAAAUCCUU
rnacentral:lncRNA from 1 species